UUUUAGGCUAAAUAUGACCAUGAAACCGAUAGCAACAAGUACCGUGCAGGGAAAGUUGCAAAGAACUUUGAAGAGAGAGUUCAAGAGUACGUGAAACCGCUGGGAUGGAAACGGAGAGAGUUGACGAAAGCCGGUGCUAUUCAACUGUGUCGCGCAAUCGCACUGGGACAUGGCUACCUCUCUGGGGAGCUUGUCUUGGUGGCACGAUACGCGGCGCGUGCAUUUGGUGCCGGUGUGCGCUGAGGGCCUUGACUGAGCGCUCCGAACCGCAGUGUGUUGCCCACUUCGGUGGUGUCUUGCACGUGGCUAGGUGUGCCCGGCUAGGGUUAGCUGCUAAUGCGUUCUCGCUAGGCGUCUGUUGUUGUGCCUCUGUGCGUGCUACGGUGGCGGUCGUCGAAAGGCGACAGGCUAUCGUAGUGUGUAGGGAGGUGGAGCGCGGACGUGGAACGCUUGCUCCUCGGUGUGACCGUCGACCACCCCUCCGACCCGUCUUGAAACACGGACCAAGAAGUCUAGCAUAUACGCGAGUCAUUGGGUGAAAAACCUAAAGGCGUAAUGAAAGUAAAGGCGGCUCGAUCCGCUGAUAUGGGAUCCGUGCAUGAGAGUGUGCGGCGCACCAUAGCCCCGUCCCGAAGGCUUGCCUGGGGCGGCAGG
rnacentral:rRNA from 1 species